GACGAACGCUGGCGGUGUGCUUCACACAUGCAAGUCGAACGAGGUAGCAAUACCUAGUGGCGGACGGGUGAGUAACGCGUGGGAAUCUGCCUUUAGAUGGGGGAUAACGGGUCGAAAGACUCGCUAAUACCGCAUAUGACGAAAGUUGAAAGGAGUAAUCCGUCUAAAGAUGAGCCCGCGUCCGAUUAGCUAGUUGGUAGAGUAAAAGCCUACCAAGGCGACGAUCGGUAGCUGGUCUGAGAGGAUGAUCAGCCACAAUGGGACUGAGACACGGCCCAUACUCCUACGGAGGCAGCAGUGGGAUUUACGCAAUGGGCGAAAGCCUGACGUAGCGACACCGCGUGAGCGAAGAAGCCCCUUGGGGUGUAAAGCUCUGUCAGCUGGAACGAAAAAAUGACGGUACCAGCAGAGGAAGCAUCGGCUAACUACGUG
rnacentral:rRNA from 1 species